rnacentral:rRNA from 1 species
CCUACGGGUGGCUGCAGUGAGGAAUAUUGGUCAAUGGGCUUACGCCUGAACCAGCCAAGUCGCGUGAGGGAAGACUGCCCUAUGGGUUGUAAACCUCUUUUGUCAGGGAGCAACGCCGGCUACGUGUAGCCGGACUGAGAGUACCUGAAGAAAAAGCAUCGGCUAACUCCGUGCCAGCAGCCGCGGUAAUACGUAGGGAGCGAGCGUUGUCCGGAUUUACUGGGUGUAAAGGGUGCGUAGGCGGCUUGGCAAGUCAGUAGUGAAAUCCAUGGGCUUAACCCAUGAACUGCUAUUGAAACUGUCGAGCUUGAGUGAAGUAGAGGUAGGCGGAAUUCCCGGUGUAGCGGUGAAAUGCGUAGAGAUCGGGAGGAACACCAGUGGCGAAGGCGGCCUACUGGGCUUUAACUGACGCUGAGGCACGAAAGCGUGGGUAGCAAACAGGAUUAGAUACCCCUGUAGUC